GUUUUGCUUCCCCUGUUUCGUUAGGCCUGAUUUGCCCCAGCUGUGUUUCUCUCCUGUUACUCAUUCCCUGAUUGCUCCCUCUGUGUAUUUAAGCCCUGUGUUUCUUUGUGUCCGUGUCGCGAUCUACCCUCAUCUUGCUGUGUGUUCUGUCCGUUUGCCAGUGUAAGUUUAUUUUGUAUUCCUUGAUUUGUUACUUUUUGAGUUUAGCAUUAAAGCUGUAUUUGAGUUCACGUUUUGCCUCCGAGUGUCUGCACUUUGGGUCCUCCUACUACCAUUCCUGCCUGCACACAGCCUACACAUGACAGAGUAAAACCCAGUUGCCGGCUUGCUUCUAAACCAUACAGAAAGUGGUGUCCCCAAAGGGUGGGAGUUAAGAUAUGCGACCCCAAACGGGACUUAAGCAGAUCUUUGAUGCUGAAACUAACAGAGCAAAAACUGCGUUCUGAUCUUCGCUGAGAUCAACCUCGUGGCCUCAUCAAUGUUCUGUACAGAUGUGUCUUUGUCACGGAGUCAGGGCAGAUCAUGUUUGAGGAACAGGGAGAGCGAGUUUCCUCUCCGCUCACCUUCAGAGGGUAGGAGGACUUUGGUGUGAUGUCUGGAUUACAGCAACACGUACCAGGAUGUCUGGUGGAGGACUGCCUGAUGUCAUUCAUGUCUUUGGCGUCCGCUGGACUCAGGUCUGGACCGCAUGCUGGAGGAUGGACUAACGAUCCCACCAGGACAGGAGGAGGUGUCACUGCUGAACAGCUCUGCUGUGUGGGACGAGCAGCUGGACGAGGGCAACUCGAGGUUCCCUACAAUCCCCAAAGUAUUUUAGCACAUCUGGAGAUGCUCCUGGUGGACAGAGGACCUGUUCUGAAUGAAUGAAUAUUCUGUGUUUGUGGCACUGACUGGAAGAGAGCUCUGCUGGAAUCCCACAGCACAGCCCACAGGAUGAGGAAGCCCUGGAGGGACUGCGGAGAACGGUGGACCCUCUGGAACGUUCUGAGUCACGUGGUCGUGACCUGGGCAACAGGGGUCAAACCAACAGUCACACCUAACAUGGACCUAAAUACUGCUUUCCACAUCAGAGAGAACCUCAUGUGAGGACUCCACCAACAUGGCUAACUGCUGCACCCAUUAUGGUUCUAAACUCUGUAAGUGUUCAGGUGCUCUCACAGAACCAGGGAUCUCCUUACAGUUGUGGUCAAACUUUUAGUUUGAAAGGUCUGUUUUCAUCAGGAAGGAUGUGAACAUGGAUUGUCCGGUCAUCCCUGGUGCAUGUGCAGGACACCAGCCUGUUUCCAUCUGUGAUGUUUGAAGCUGUUUAUGAUCAAAAUAAAAACCAAUCUGAACGAGAAUGUUUUAAAUUAAUAUCUAAGGACGCUUCGAGGUGCUCUGCAUGUAAAAUACUGUAUAUACGGUAUAUAUACAGUACUACAGGUAUAUACAGCUGAAACUAUAUAGUACCUGAUACUUCGAGCUCCUGCAAGAAAUCUUGCAAACAUGUAAGAUCCUCGUCUCAGUGCCCACACGUCUCUUUGACUGUGGUCGGCAGCUCAUCAGAACAUACUGUUCAGUCUAAGCUUUACAUGCUAACAGGAAACUACAGAUCAGACUGCAGCUGAUUGGUUAAUAUUUACUUUGAAGACGUUCCCAGGAACAAGCUCCAGGAUUUAGGAUCACCAGGAUCACACAGACCCACACUGUGUGGAUUUUCCUACAGUAAUGACGUCUCGUCAUCGGUCUCAUCAGAGGACAGCAUUCCUUUGCAUGUGUCGACUGCAAGCACCUGCAGAGGCAUCACUUCAUUACGCGGUAACACAUCUGCUUUGGCUUCUUUGCAAAGUGCUGUGAGUGUGCAGGUGGAGCGGGUGUGUCUCUGAACAAAGCAGGAACAGUAUCAGCUGCACAGUCAUGCUGCAGUGUGAGCAGCAGGAAGGCCUACACACACAAACUAACAACAACCCUGUUGGCUUAUACAGCUGUCCUCCACAAGGUCCCAGACCUUGUUCCAGAAAGGUUUCCAAUGUCAGUUAAAACCCAGUAAGCAGAGUGGAUUCAGUUGUGUGUGACUCAGGUUAAAUGUGUCUGCUGACUCUACAAACGUCCCUCUGCACAGUCACCAUGGUCUGUAAGAGCUCCUCACAGCUGGCACAGCUGUGUGGGAGUGUGAGCGCUGUGGCCUCACUGCCUGAUGUUAAACAUCUGUUUUUACCACCACUGAAGUCUGAUUUGAAAUUUCCUGGAAAUGACCUACGAGUUUAAAAUAAUGCAGUUUGGCAUCAAAUGAGAGUGAUUGUCAUCUGUCCUGAUUAGCAUAGUUUAAUUCAGACACAGAGCACUAACCUUUGCAGGGUCUCUGUCGGCCGCCUGAAGGAUUUGUAGUUAACCAACAAACACACCUGUGACUGCUGACUCAGCCGCAUCAUCAGCCCAAAAACAGAUUUACAUGAUUUCAAACUGCAACUAUCAGUCAUGAAAGCGGUCACAUGGUUAGGAUGAACCUCCUCAGUGAGACAGCUGUGCUGUAAUCAGGUUAGCUUAAACUCUACAGCUGCAUCUGUAACCACAGUUUCACAACAUAUUUAAUGAAAAGGACGACAAAAACACAAAUGUGGGCUCAGCUGAUGCUGUGCUGUACGAUCGUUGGAGCCACUGUGUGAUUCUUCUUUAAAUCCCUCCUGAUUUAAGCUGAGAGGACUGACUGUGUGACAACAGUGUGACAGCACCAAACUAAACAUGAUAUAUUUAAAAUAACAUAAGGAAAUAAACUGACAGCAAACGGGUUUUAAUCUAGUUUCAACAAACUGCUCCACUGGACUCAGCUUCAUUCUGCACAGUGUUUCCACAACGUACAAGCUAGGAGCUGAUUGGACACCAAAACAGCCAAUCAGAGUUUACGCAUCCAGUCUGUGAUUGGUUGGUUUUGUCGCACAUUUAUAACGAUGCACAGAAAGAGCUCUGUGUGUGUGUGUGUGUGAGUGGAUAAUAGCAAACACUGAAAUACAUUUCUGUCAACAAUGAAUUUUCUUUGCUCCAAAUAAAAUCAAUGCGUUUUUAUUCUUCAAACUCUGUAAAACAAACAGUUGUAAUAUUUUCAUAUUCCAGGUAUUCUUCAUAAAACAUGUUUGUGACAUGAGGCCAUUUCCAUUUUUAUUUAUUUUUUAAUUAAUUUCGAGAAAUUGCAGUUUUUGUGUCACUACCCACUCUUCCACAUAAUCAACGCAUUUUUGCAAUAAACUAAAGACAUUUCUCCCAUUUCGGUGAAGAUGAUAUAUUCAUAUACUUGCUCUGCAUAUACUGCAGAAGCUGGGUCCUCCCUCUGACAGGCGCACGUUGUUCAUCCUCUUGUGGGGAUUAGAGAAAUUAUUUCCCUGCUAUUGUUCAUAUUACCAUGGCAUUAAUCACAUAAUCUCCAAGUAGGGAUAGUGCAUUUAAAUGUUUAAACAUAUUGACACCUAAUUAAGCUUUUAUUACAGGUCCAGCAAGAACCACUUUAAACUGUUGCGUUGAAUCUAUAAUUUUAAAGGCUUUUGAAUGUUUUUAUAUUCUCACACUGGAGUCUUCAGUGGGGGAGAAACUGAGUUGCAGGCUGACAGGAAACGGCGUGCUUUGCAAAAGUGAAACCGAAAGCAGAGUCUCAUUGCAAGUAAU